AUCUCAGGCUGACAUAAAGAUCGACACUCUGUUGCUCAUUACAGCGUGUGAGUGUCUGCAAGGGUGAAGGUGUGUGUUCACCAGUCUCCUCCAAGGAAAGCCUACUCAACAAAGAGAAAAGAUUUAAAGCGACAGACAGGCAACUCUGAAAGCAAAGGACCUGACCCAUCUAUCCUCAAACCAUUGUAUUCCACUUGCAAGCAUCAUGGGAAGUGGUGAGAGUGAGGAGUGGGAUGAAAAGCACCAGGACACGAGGCAAACUCAGCCCCAGAAACACAAGGACACAGAGACCAGAAGCUCAGGAAGCAGCUGUCCCAAGUGCUGCUUGCGGACAAGGGACUGUCUGAUGAGCGGAGAGUGCGGCAGGGCACUUCAGAUCUCCAGCGUUAUUGCCAUGUGUGGAAUGUGCAUCCGCAUGUGGACAUAAGCUAACCUUGGACAUGAGGACCAGCUUUUCCAGGCUGUGUUGGUUCUCAGCAUCCUGCAGCACCCUUCAUGACAGUCUGGUUUUCUUCUAAUCUGAGAUGAAACAUAUUCACUUCAAGUCAUUUUCAUCAGCUAAAGUAAUCUUUAAUUCUUUAUCUACAAGUUAUUUAUUUAACAUAAACAAAUUCACUGUUUGUAUAUAAAACUAACUAGAAAGACAUUAUGAAUUAAUAGUUACACAUUAGAAGGAAUGGAUGAAUGUGACAUUGAUCUGCAUGUAUUUGUAAAACAUUAGCCUAUCUGAUUGAUCACUUCUGAUUGAUCAAAAUGCAACAGUAUUUAAUGAAUCCAGAUGUUGUAUAUGUAUAGUUAAGAUGUUUUCAAUGAUGUAAAAAAACAAACAAGUGAACUUCAUGAUGUAGAGAGAAUAAGUACUACAGUGUAACCCCAACAUUCUCUCUUAUGAUAUGAAUAAGAUGGCCAGAUGUUAGGGGAAACAACUGUGACACAUCUGAAGUAAUGAAAAACUUAGCAACAACUCUGUAACAAGGACAAAGGUAUAUUCUAUUCUGUGCCACUAAUGAUAGAGCCCUAUAAUUAAUGAAAAGGCUUUGAUAAGAAUGCUAUAACUAAAUGACAUCCUUUGCUGUCAACACCCUCGUCCGAGGUCAUUUAAAAAAAAAUUGUCAGUGCACACAAUGAGCAAGCUAACAAAGAAUGUAAUACUGUACAUUUUUUUCAAUGUCAUGUCACAAGACAGUAAUGACUCUGCCCCUUUGUGUGCCCAAUGUCCUUUUAUACACUGCUAUGUGAUACACUGAGGCACAAAUGCAUGAAAAUCAGAACUGACCCAAUUUAUAGGAGACAUUUGGUCACCAUGCACAUGAGCGACAGCGGUGGGUCUAAGAUUUUGAGCCUUUUACACAAGUACAUGUCUCACAUUAUCAAGUGAGAUAGAGUGUGGGUGGACAGCAAAGGUCGAGCCAUUGUGGGACAUGAUGGGAAGAGAGAUCUUGUGCCUCGAAAUUUGAAAGAAAUUCACUGUCAACAUGCUGCUGUCUGACCCUGACGGGGGACAGGGGACUGGAAAACCAUUACAUACUGUAGUUUGAUCAUACAUUUCUCAAGGCAUAAAUUACACUCUAUUACAUGAUGACAAGAAAACCGCUUCUACUGCUGACCUUGACACCUCAACUUGGGUCACUGUUGGUCACCAUUUUGUUUCUCUGCUCGAUGUAUAAGCAUUUGGCAAGUGUUGCCAGAUGUUAAGUGGAUAUGACUCAUGAAACAUUCUUGGUUAAGAAUGCUAACAGAUGAUUAAACCACUGAAGGAGUGGAGAACAAUACACUGCAGAAACUGAAGUGCAGUGGUGGAACAAGUAUUCAGAUCCUUUACUUAAGUAAAAGUACUAAUAACAGUUCAACCCCAAAAUCAAAAAUACGGAUUUUUCCUCUUGACUGUCCAUCUAGAUUGUUUUGUUGUAAGUUAGUUAAAGAGUUUCUGAGAUAUCGGCUGUAGAGAUGUUUUUUGAAUAUAAUGGAACUAUAUGGCACUCGGCUUGAGGUGCUCAAAGGGCCAAAAAAAUACAUUUGAAACACUCAACAGCAAUGUUUCUCUCCAGAAAUCAUGACCCAGUUACUCAAGAUAAUCUACAGACCUUGCUGUGAGCAGUUUCAUGUAGGAACUAUCGGUAGAAAGACAAUAGUUCUGAAAUAAUCUAGAUGGACAAAUAGCACUACAGGUAAGAGGAAAAAUAUGUAUCGUUGAUUUUGGGGUGAACUGUCCUUUUAGGUAAAAGUAUGUAAGUAUCAUCAGCAAAAUGUAAAGUAUCAAAAGUAAAAGUACUCAUUCAGCCUUGAAUUUAUUUUUGUGAAUAAACCAUUGAUCUGCUCCA